CAUUAUGCUACAGUGCUGGCAAGAGAGUCCGUAUGAUCGCCCAACUUUUAAAGAGCUCCAUUCGAAACUUCAUUCAAUCCUGUACGAGACCUCGGUUACAUACAUAAACAUUUCCUAUUCAGACGGACAGAGAGAUGACUUAGGUGUUCAAGAGUUCUCUAAUGGGUGAUCAUGGCGUUGACAUUCAUAGACAGCGGAGCAGGGUUUGGGGAGCUGAGCUCUAGCCUCCUCAACGCGUUUAGGUCCAGAAAAUAUGGUCAUCACAGGAUAAAACUGGUUCGACAACGUUUUCUGCCUUUCGAUCUCCUGAAAAAAUCCUCUCACAAGGAUUGUGCUUCGCGACAUGAUAAAUUGAAGAAUGUCUAUUUCGACAACGUAAAUAUCUACUACGGACACAACCUUUGUAAACAAACAGCGUGCGAAUACCGAGGCUCUCAUUAUCAGUCACGGUGGUCUUUCCAACGGGUAAAGGGUACUUAUAGGGUAAAGGGCACUUAUAAGAUAAAAAAUAAAGCUGCUUCCGAAAACCA